UGACGGGACUGAAAAACAUAAAAUAUCCGCUUUUAAUGUGCCUCCCGUGCAGAAAAAAGAGGCCAAGUUGUCCCAGUGGGAGUAUUUGGACGCCGAAAAAGUGCAAACGCUGCUCACACUGACCGAUCAAAAGGAAAUUUUCGAGUAUAUUGGAAGAAUGUUUACAAAUGUGGAAAACUUCUGCAGGGUGUUACAGAAUAAGAUGCUGAUCCUUUUUGAUGUAGUCCCUCGUUUUAGGUUCAACUCUGAAAAACUACCCAACGGGACGCCCAAAAGACUUUUUCAUCCAACUUCUAUCGGACGUGACCAAAUUCUGCCAAAGUCAAUCGUACGAUCUUGAAAAGGUCGCCUCCGUAUUAUCACAGUUUUAUUUAACUCAUAACUACUUCACCAGCAGCGUGGACGUAUCGGCGGAAAAAGUUUACAUUUAUUUUAAAGAUUUAAUGAUGUGCCACAGUUUGCCCUUUCCUCCAUGCAAGAAGAAAAUAUUCACUUUAAACGAGGCGAGGGAUAUUCUCGAAUUUUUCUGUAGGAUUUACACGAGGAAUCUACCGCUCAUAAAGUACUUGUGCCUGCCCAACUUCGCUUUGUAUCUGAAUUACGAGAUACCUCCUGCCCCUGUUUUCGUCACCAAAGGGAAAAAAGUAACAGGAAAAGAGAAGAAGGAAAAGAAAGGAAAAGGCAAAAAGAAAAAAUAAGACUUUUACUGUACAACUUAUUUAUAUAAUAUAUUACACUAUUUUUCUUC
rnacentral:misc_RNA from 1 species